CCUCUCGCGUCAGGAUAUGCCCAGGUGGGAUUAGCUAGUUGGGGAAGUAAGGGCUCACCAAGGCGACGAUCCCUUAGCUGGUCUGAGAGGAUGAUCAGCCACACUGGAACUGAGACACGGUCCAGACUCCUACGGGAGGCAGCAGUGGGGAAUAUUGCACAAUGGGCGCAAGCCUGAUGCAGCCAUGCCGCGUGUGUGAAGAAGGCCUUUCGGGUUGUAAAGCACUUUCAGUCGUGAGGAAGGUAGUGUGUUUAAUAGAUGCAUUAUUUGACGUUAGCGACAGAAGAAGCACCGGCUAACUCCGUGCCAGCAGCCGCGGUAAUACGGAGGGUGCGAGCGUUAAUCGGAAUUACUGGGCGUAAAGCGCAUGCAGGUGGUGUGUUAAGUCAGAUGUGAAAGCCCGGGGCUCAACCUCGGAAUUGCAUUUGAAACUGGCAGACUAGAGUACUGUAGAGGGGGGUAGAAUUUCAGGUGUAGCGGUGAAAUGCGUAGAGAUCUGAAGGAAUACCGGUGGCGAAGGCGGCCCCCUGGACAGAUACUGACACUCAGAUGCGAAAGCGUGGGGAGCAAACAGGAUUAGAUACCCUGGUAGUCCACGCCGUAAACGAUGUCUACUUGGAGGUUGUGGCCUUGAGCCGUGGCUUUCGGAGCUAACGCGUUAAGUAGACCGCCUGGGGAGUACGGUCGCAAGAUUAAAACUCAAAUGAAUUGACGGGGGCCCGCACAAGCGGUGGAGCAUGUGGUUUAAUUCGAUGCAACGCGAAGAACCUUACCUACUCUUGACAUCCAGAGAACUUUCCAGAGAUGGAUUGGUGCCUUCGGGAACUCUGAGACAGGUGCUGCAUGGCUGUCGUCAGCUCGUGUUGUGAAAUGUUGGGUUAAGUCCCGCAACGAGCGCAACCCUUAUCCUUGUUUGCCAGCGAGUCAUGUCGGGAACUCCAGGGAGACUGCCGGUGAUAAACCGGAGGAAGGUGGGGACGACGUCAAGUCAUCAUGGCCCUUACGAGUAGGGCUACACACGUGCUACAAUGGCGCAUACAGAGGGCGGCCAACUUGCGAAAGUGAGCGAAUCCCAAAAAGUGCGUCGUAGUCCGGAUUGGAGUCUGCAACUCGACUCCAUGAAGUCGGAAUCGCUAGUAAUCGUGGAUCAGAAUGCCACGGUGAAUACGUUCCCGGGCCUUGUACACACCGCCCGUCACACCAUGGGGAGUGGGCUGCAAA
rnacentral:rRNA from 1 species